AAAGCAAUUAGGAGCCUAUUGAUUCACCUCUGUCUUUAGAUCAGUUAAUGUUUUUUAAAGUUUAAGUUCAACUUACACUUUAUUGGCUUUUAGGUGGAAAUUUGUCCUGUGCAUUUAACCCAUCCUAAGUACUUAGGAGCAGUGGGCAGCCACAGUGCAGCACCUGGGGACCAGGCCAGUGCCUCCAGUUCUCAACGGCAGGAGUGUACCUAACCUGACAUGCAUGUCGUUGAGUGUGGGGCAAAACCCACAGGAACAUGGGGAGAGCAUGCAGGCCCCACACACAGGAUCCGGCCAGACAGGACUGACGUGCUCAGGCAUUUCAGGUCACCCAGGAAAGCUGCCGUUUGCCUUUCCGAGUUUCGCGGAGUUUGGCGCUGGAGCACGAAGGCGGAAGGGGCCGGAUUCUGGCAGCAAAACCGUGCCGGAGCGUCAGAAACAGUCAAAAUCCUCCACUGCAGAUUCUCCUUAAUGUGAGGGGGGGGGAGUGAGCGGCGUGGCUGAAAAAAAACUGGAAAAAGAAAACGAACUGAAAGAAAAUUUCUGGCAGGUACCCUGAGAUGAUUCAAAAUGAGAAAAGCAACAGAGACCCACUGCCAGGGGAGGAACGAAGGGGGAGCCUUCGUACCCCGCCCCCCUACCCCCCACCCCAAAAAAAGGAAAUUAUGAUUAUUUUUGAAAACCGUGAUUGUAAUUCAGCUCCGCACUCCCACCCCCCUUAAUGCCCGCGAUCACAAUCUCCCCCACACCCCCACAGCCCCCCCACCCCCCCUCCCCCCUCACCUGUGCAGGAGAACACAGAUUCAGAAAAUGGCUAUAAUUUCCUGUUUGGCUUCAAUCACACAAGCUGUGUAAUUGCUGCUGUUUGAAUCAUUUUAAAUUGCAUUCAAACAGCACAUGAGGUGGUCCUGAUGGAAAUAGUGGUGGUCAUGGUAACCCUCAAAAUCCCUGGUAACCGUUGCUCAUAAAUAAGAAACGAUGCUGUAAUCGGAUGAUGUCACAGUGCACUUCCGCGAUUUCGCUGCCCCCGCGUCCCCGCGCCCUGGUGUUCUCAGCACACAUUCCCUCACCAGCAAUGAGCCAGCCGUCCGAAGCUCAGCUCUGUUUAAAUAAAAGUUUCAUCUUCCCUUAUUCCACUCGUCACUUAUUCCAAUCGUCAUGGGGAUAAAUCGCAGACAAAAAUUCAUUCCAAACCUGCCCCUGUUUUUCAGUCCAGUGACCGAUAUUCACCCCAGCUGGUCUACUCCAGGAAGUACACGAUGUUACAUUGCAGUCUGUCUCACAGCAGAAGCUGUUUGUUUACAGAAGCAUUUCUCCUUUAAUGAGGCCAGCAAGGCAGUUACUCCAUCAGGCUGAAGGAUAUCAGAACAGCUAACCUCGCGUGUUCGCAUUUCACAUGAGACAGAACAUUGAGUACCGAACUGCUACCUUCCUAUCGAUGAAUAGAAAAGUCCAAUAAAGUUUCAUGUAGUGUAAAUACG